AAAUGCGAUAAGUAAUGUGAAUUGCAGAAUUCAGUGAAUCAUCGAAUCUUUGAACGCACAUUGCGCCCGCCAGUAUUCUGGCGGGCAUGCCUGUCCGAGCGUCAUUUCAACCAUCAAGCCCCCGGGCCUGUGUUGGGGACCUGCGGCUGCCCGCAGGCCCUGAAAACCAGUGGCGGGCUCGCUGUCACACCGAGCGUAGUAGCAAUCACCUCGCUCAGGGCGUGCUGCGGGUUCCGGCCGUUAAACAGCCUUACAAAACCCAAGGUUGACCUCGGAUCAGGUAGGAAGACCCGCUGAACUUAAGC
rnacentral:misc_RNA from 1 species